UACGUAGGGUGCGAGCGUUGUCCGGAAUUAUUGGGCGUAAAGAGCUCGUAGGCGGUUUGUUGCGUCUAUCGUGAAAACCUGGGGCUUAACCCCGGGCCUGCGGUGGAUACGGGCAGACUUGAGUUCGGUAGGGGAGACUGGAAUUCCUGGUGUAGCGGUGAAAUGCGCAGAUAUCAGGAGGAACACCAGUGGCGAAGGCGGGUCUCUGGACAACACCUGACGCUGAGGCACGAAAGCCAGGGGAGCAAACGGG
rnacentral:rRNA from 1 species